UAACCAGGAACCGUACCCCAAACCGACACAGGUGGUUGGGUAGAGAAUACCAAGGCGCUUGAGAGAACUCGGGUGAAGGAACUAGGCAAAAUGGCACCGUAACUUCGGGAGAAGGUGCGCCGGUGAGGGUGAAGGACUUGCUCCGUAAGCCCAUGCCGGUCGAAGAUACCAGGCCGCUGCGACUGUUUAUUAAAAACACAGCACUCUGCAAACACGAAAGUGGACGUAUAGGGUGUGACGCCUGCCCGGUGCCGGAAGGUUAAUUGAUGGGGUUAGCUAACGCGAAGCUCUUGAUCGAAGCCCCGGUAAACGGCGGCCGUAACUAUAACGGUCCUAAGGUAGCGAAAUUCCUUGUCGGGUAAGUUCCGACCUGCACGAAUGGCGUAACGAUGGCGGCGCUGUCUCCACCCGAGACUCAGUGAAAUUGAAAUCGCUGUGAAGAUGCAGUGUAUCCGCGGCUAGACGGAAAGACCCCGUGAACCUUUACUAUAGCUUUGCACUGGACUUUGAAUUUGCUUGUGUAGGAUAGGUGGGAGGCUUUGAAGCGUGGACGCCAGUUCGCGUGGAGCCAUCCUUGAAAUACCACCCUGGCAACUUUGAGGUUCUAACUCAGGUCCGUUAUCCGGAUCGAGGACAGUGUAUGGUGGGUAGUUUGACUGGGGCGGUCUCCUCCUAAAGAGUAACGGAGGAGUACGAAGGUGCGCUCAGACCGGUCGGAAAUCGGUCGUAGAGUAUAAAGGCAAAAGCGCGCUUGACUGCGAGACAGACACGUCGAGCAGGUACGAAAGUAGGUCUUAGUGAUCCGGUGGUUCUGUAUGGAAGGGCCAUCGCUCAACGGAUAAAAGGUACUCCGGGGAUAACAGGCUGAUACCGCCCAAGAGUUCAUAUCGACGGCGGUGUUUGGCACCUCGAUGUCGGCUCAUCACAUCCUGGGGCUGAAGCCGGUCCCAAGGGUAUGGCUGUUCGCCAUUUAAAGUGGUACGCGAGCUGGGUUUAGAACGUCGUGAGACAGUUCGGUCCCUAUCUGCCGUGGACGUUUGAGAUUUGAGAGGGGCUGCUCCUAGUACGAGAGGACCGGAGUGGACGAACCUCUGGUGUUCCGGUUGUCACGCCAGUGGCAUUGCCGGGUAGCUAUGUUCGGAAUAGAUAACCGCUGAAAGCAUCUAAGCGGGAAACUAGCCUCAAGAUGAGAUCUCACUGGAACCUUGAGUUCCCUGAAGGGCCGUCGAAGACUACGACGUUGAUAGGUUGGGUGUGUAAGCGCUGUGAGGCGUUGAGCUAACCAAUACUAAUUGCCCGUGAGGCUUGACCAUA
rnacentral:rRNA from 1 species